AGACGACCGUCAUGAGAAAAUCCCGAUGUCCGAUCGCCGGAAGAAAAACCAGGACCCACAGCCGGCGGCCCGUGAGGACCGCUUUGGACACCCCCGGUCUAUGAUCUCGACGGUCCUCCUCCGAACUCCGUUGGCCGCUCUUUAGUCGAGGGAUGGCAGGCAAUCCUAUCUUUGAGGGUAACAGUUACCCCAACUUGCCACCCUGGUGGAUCCGCGUCUGGUGACAAUGUCAAGUGGAUCGAGCUUCAAUGUGUUACGGAUAUGCCGGCUGGAUGAAUGGAUGACGUCAUACACUUGGAGAAGAGGUACACAAAAACAAGUGAAAACUCACUCAUGCUCAUCCUCAGGGGAGGAAUCCGACUCCUCCUUUUCCCGGGCAACGGCUGGCAUCUCCAGGGAGAAAACUCAAAUUCUGCUGAGAUCAAGUAUCUGCCAUCGCAUCUCCCUCCUGAGGCAAACCAAGACAAACAAAAUAUAUGUCAGAUUCCAAAAACUCCAAUAAGAACUAACAAUGCGUAGCUCUACUUUUACAACAGUCUGCCAUUUGAUCUCGGUAGAUAACAGCGCGAGUCAUUACAACUACUAAAGCCGGACCAUAUGUUAGCUAUUCUGUGAUUAAAUGCGAUCUUUUGUCUUCGUUUCUACGUUGUGUUG